rnacentral:lncRNA from 1 species
CAUCCAUGUUUUUUGUCCACCAAUAAUUAUAAUAACAAUAAUAAAUAAAUAAUUAAAUUAAAUUAUCGCCAUUAUUAUUUAAAAUUAGGAUGAGAAAAGGCGUGACUGCUGGGGGGGUACGGGAAAGUGAAAAGGAAAAGGAAAAGACGAAUAAGCUUAGUCGUAUUCGUUGGAGGAAUGUUGGGUUGUAGGGGCAAAAGAGUCAUUUCACUUGAAAAAUGAGAGUGGCAGUAUCAAUAUUAAAGAUUUGAUUGAUAUUUUCCACUCCUCUCUCUCGGAUAUUAUUAUUACAAAGCAUACAAUUCUAAACCUAACGGACGACAGCUCAGAACCACAUAAAAAAGACCCCAUUUCACGGAAUACCUAAAAUGCCCUCCAUAACUUUCCCAAUUCAUGCGCUGCAUUCGGGGACAUUAAUGUCUUUUCAACUGAUCCCCACCCACCCUCCACCCACUCAACUCGGACGAGUCAACUCAGUAGCGCAAUCUGUGUCCACUCAUUUUCACGCCUAAAAUAAACCCGUCCGCCGGGGAAAAGCCAAAAAUAAAAAAGACUUACAGGCAAAACACGGCAAGAAGAAGAAUCAUCAGGGUGCAUAGCGGCGGCGUUCAAGUCGGACGAGUCCGGCGCCGUGGUAGAAGAAGAUUUGGGCUUUACGGAAAAGGGUGGAACGGCGUCGUCUUCUUCAUCUUCCUCACCUAUAUCCGAAGAGAAAUCGAGAAGGUCAUCCAUGAAAGCCAAAGAAGACUCCAUUUUUGUGUGUGUGUGUGUUUUUUUGUUUUGCUUCUUUUUUUUUUUUUGGAAGAGAGAGAAAAGCCCGUUUUUUCUAGAGAGAGAAAGAGGGUUUUGUUGUUGUGACUGUGAGUUUAUUAUUAUCGUCAACACGAUGGCUUCGUGAGGGUCUUUGGUGUGUAGUGGGGUGGGGAACGAACGAAGGGAUGUAAAUUUUUUUCCAAUAACAAUAAAUAUCUUUUAUUUUUUUAAAAUAACGUACAGAAAGAGAAACAAUCGGGUGUGUAUGUGCGUAGAGUGAAGGAAACACAAGGAUAUGAGUUUGACUGAGAAGUGAAGGGUAGAAGUGGGAUCCAGUGUGAGUUGGCAAAUAGUUAGAGGAAGUACACCGUACUUAGCGUGGAUCUGAAUGUGGGGAUAGAAAAGAAAGGGUACAACGGUAAUUAGGGGAGAUAGGGAGGGGUAAAUUAGGGAGAAGGGGGGAAAAGAGGGGUAUAUAUGUAGAAUGUAUGAGAUGGAUGGUGUGUCGAGGUCUGGGGACUGGGACGACGUUCACGAUGUCGUCGUUUUACUACAUCCAAUAAGAUUCGUCCACGUAGAAUAACCAAUGGGAGAGAGACACGUGUGGGUUUUCAUUUUAUUAUUUGGAGAAAAAGAUGUCGGGGGGGCCCAUUGAGACAAACCCGCAUGUGGCGGCGAUGAUAGUGUUUUGACUCCACGCGCUGAGUGAUCAAUUUUCAGUAGUAGGAGCGUGGGGUCCACGCGAGGGUAAAUGUGUAAAUUAAUGAUAUAGGGAUAGUACUUAGUAGAUAGUAGUAGUGUUUGCAUGUGAUGAAGGCGGGGGGGAGUGGGAGCCCUCAAAACCCCACUACAAAAAUUUUUAAAAAGGAAUUACUUUUUUUUUAGAUACAUGGAUGGCGGAAUGCAUACUCAUACAUGUCAAAUCAUAUAUUUAAAUUCCUCUACUCUUUAUUAUUAUUAUCCUACAAAUACAACUCUAUAUUCACUCAAACUCCCCAUAUUAUUCUAAUACACUUCUCCAAAUCGUUCUCCCUAUUACUCUUUUCCUAACUGUCUCCAAAUUUUUAGUUAGGUUUAUGCCCAUCUACCAUGCAAAGAGGUGGAAAAUUUAUGAUUGAUUCUUUUUUAUCUAUAUCAUAUAAGUCCUUUUCAAAAGGUAUUGUAGUAUAAUUUGGACACCACAUAUUUGAAUAUGAAAUUUUUGUCCUUCCACAAACCUAGAUGUCAUUUAAAUGAACUAGUUUCUAAAUUAUUUUUGUUAUUACGUUAUAGUUCUUAAUAUUGCAAUGUAUAUUAAAUAGUUAGGAGGACAUUUGUUGACUUAACUUAAGCAUCAUUGUUUUUACUAAAGUAGGGCAUUAGGUAGAAAUGUAGAGUAAAGACCAAAAUUAUUGGGUUUAGGGAUUAAAUUAUAGAAACUAAAAUAAAUAUUUUUGAACUUUUUUUUAAGUAUCUAAUAUCACUAAAAUUGAAAAGUCAGACAAAUUAAAUUAAUGUAUAUGCAAUGGAAAAAGGUAGAUAUUUUUAUUAAUAUUUUGUUUUUAAGAAAUAGGUCCACAAAUUUAGGAUUUGAAACCAGAUUCCUUACCUACUUUAGGUGAAUCUCAUUCUCUCAUUCUUGAUUUGGGUUGGGCCUACAAACAACAAAUUAAUAAAUAUAUAUAUAUACAUAUCAAAGUAUCAAAAAUCAAUUAUAACUGUCAUUUAAAAGCGUAGACGUUCGAUCGUAGUUCAAAUCACUCGCCCUUAAUUUAUAUUGUAAAUUAAUAAAUCUAUGUGUAUGAAUUGAAUUUUCCUUAUCUUAAUCAUCUUAUAUCGUUAAAGAAUUAAUAUAAGAAUACAAAUUUUAGAUGAGAGUUAGAGAAGAUAAGAUAAGAUUUAUUUACUCGUACAUAAGUGAAGUAAGGAAGGGUUUCAACAAGUUUAAUUGAGAGAGAAAUGUUUGUUUUUUUUUUUUUUAAUUGAAAUGUCAAUAAAAAAGAGCAUACACAAUUUUCAUCUAAUUGUCAAUCUUUUUAGAUCAAACAUGAAUGAAGCAAGGAAAGGAAUGGUUGCAAUGUGGCUAUGUACUCCUUUAUAAUUUUUUUGUAUGUAUGGGUUUAGGUUAACUAAAUCACCAAACGAAACUGAUCAGUUUUAUAAUUAAGAAACCAAACUGAAGUUCAAUGAACAACAAAAACCAAUGAUUUGUUUUUAUUUGGUUAGAUUUAACAUUAUCGAUUUAGUUAUGGAUUUCUUUUCCCUUUUUAUCGAUUUUUUUAUUGACUUUUUUACUCUCCUCAAAUUUAAAUUAGGCAUGUUUCUUUUUUAUGUAUUGAAAUUGGACUUUUUAAUUUUUAAUUUUUUACUUUUUUUUCUAAAUAACAAACAUAUAUGGAUCAUAAUAAUUAAAAUACUAAAAAAGAUUCAGAUUUAAAGUUUAAUUUUAAAAGUAAAUGGAUUCAAACCAAUAAUAUUCUUUCUCCAAAUAAAAAUCAACAUUUCCAAUUUCAUACUAAAACAUUGAACAUAUUAAACAAAUGAUGGACUGAUUAGGUUUGAUUUAUUAUUAAUUUUUGGUAUGUAUGUGUAUUUAGCACUUUUAGAUUUGUAUUCACUCUGUAUGUAGGACCUGGUUGUUAUAGUGAAUUAAAUAUAUUGGUUUUUAUAGUUGCUCAAAAAAUAAUCUUAGCUUAAUCAAUCUAAAUUAUCUAAGUGAAAUUAUAGGGAUUGAAUUAGAUUGAAAUUUAAAAUCUUAAAGUAUAUAUUUCAGGUCGGAUAUUGAGUCAUAGGAUUUAAUAACCAGUCAACCUGAUUCAAUUCAGUUAUUUAUUAUUAUUAUAUAACUAAAGUAGGAAAUCAAGUUUUAGUAGAAAAGGAAGGCAUACUAGACUGAUAAGGUUCAUUUUUUUCUAACAAGAAGAUAUCGGGUUGAUCCAUUAUAUAUUUACCUUCAAGGUUUCCUCUUGAAGUGUUAAAAAAGAAAAACUAGAGACAAAGCAAAUAUAAAAUAAUAGAAAAUAUUUAUAUUUGUGUGUGAGUGAAUAUAGUUUCUCCACCAAAUUCUUUAAAAUUAAUAGGUUUGAAAGGGAAUAACAUCUAUUUGAGUACCUCAAUCAAAUGUUAUAGGCUAGAAGAGGAAAUAAAAACAUUUUUGAAGUAAUCAAUUUCUUAAUGUAACUAAAAGAUGAAGGGUCACACAUCAUUCGAGGUUUAGGUAUGUUGUAUGUCUUAAUCACGUGUGAUUUCAUUGUUUGCUUAAAAUCAAAUUUGUCAUGUAUAUAUUUUUAAUAUAUAGAUUAUAGUUUAAGUUUAUAUUAGUAAUUGUCAGAGAAGUUAAGAGUCCCACGUUGGAAAAAUAAAAAAGACUCAUACUUGGUAUAUGAUAGAUGAGCUACUAUUUUUUUUUAUUGUCAAUUGGUUUUGAGAUGGAAUCUCAUACUAUUAAAUUUAAUAUGGUAUUAAAACGGAAUGAAACAUGGGAGAAAAAAAUAUAUUUUUGAUUUUAUUACGUAAAGAUUUUGAUAUUUUUUUAUUUAUGAAAAUUAACCUACAUUAUAUCUCAAUAAAUAAUUAGCUUAAUUUGUUUUCUUGUCAUGAUGGUAUUUAUGAAAGAAAUACAACUAUAAUGUAGAAAGUUAAAUGUUUUUCCGCUACAAUACACAAAGUUAAAUUGUUUUAUAUAGAGUAAAAUGAUCAUUUCUAUUAUUGUUUCCAUUAUUAUGGUUUUAUUUGUAUGGAAGAUAAUACACCCUAUACCUUACCUUGAUGUUGAUCCUAUCCCUACCCUACAUUGUGUACUUUCUCUAUCUAUAACCAUUAGAAUUUUCUUUAAUAUUUUCUUUUUAAAAAAUGAGUUUUAGUAAAGAUGGACCAUUGCCACACUUUUGAUAAAUAUUUUAAGGAAAAAAAACUAAUAAAACUGUGAAGCAUCGCUAACGGAUUCAGAAAUUUUACAUAGAAGUACCAGACACUAUAUAAUAAACACACUAAAAUAAUAUUUAAAAAAUAUCUUAACAUUUCGUUGAUGCUCCAAUAACAUUCACUACAUUUUGUAGCAAUAAAGAAAAGACUAGUCAUCUUCUUAUAAUUUUUUGUAAUGUAAAUUUGAAUUUAAAGAUUGCAUCAAAAGAAGAAAAGAAAAAAACAAAAUAAUACAUUUAUUAUGGAUUAUUGGUGAGGAAGUGAAAAUUUAGAUAACUGAUUUUGUUGCAUUUUUUCUAAAUAUUUGUUAGAUAACAAACAAUGGCUAGAAAAAUAUAAGUUAAGGUUUUAUCAUAGUUAGGUUUUGUUCUUCUUUUAAGAAAAUUAUUUUUAUGACAUUAUUGAAAUUUGUCAAUAAAAUUGACGUUUGGAGUCUUUGAAAAAAUAAAAUUAUUGAAAUGUUGCAAAAUUAUCUCGUAGUGUUUGAAUCUAAAAUAAAAGAAAAUAAAUAUAUACAUAAAUAAUGUAAAUAUGUGAAUUUAAAAAUUGCAUUAAAAAAAGAAAUAAAAGAAGAAAAAUACAAUUUUCAUUGAAUAUUGUUGAGAUAAUAAAAGUUUGGAUCAUCAACUUUGUUGUAUUUAUUUUUUUAAUAUUUGUUAGAUAACAAAUGAGAGCUAGAAAAUAAGGUACAUUUUACUUUAAAGGAAAAAUAAGAAAAAUCAAAUUAUCUUCAUUUUAGGAAAUCAUUGGGGAAGAAAAUUAUUGAGUUAAAAUAAUUGUAACAGGCAAGAAUCAAACACAACCUCAAGAUUUUGUAGGAGCACAUCCACUACACACGAACUAGAAUUUAGUAAAAAUAAAGCAUUAUUUAAUAUAAUAUUGUAAUAUAACACUUCAAAAUUAAUAUUAAAAUCGAGAAUGUGAGGAGCACAUGCCCCCAACCCCUUAAUAAAUUCGACCCUAAGCAGCAUGAUAUCGUUGUCCAAAUGAGUUAGUUCAAUGUUGAUCAUCCUAAAGUUGGGAGGUUCGAUCUUCUAGUUCUACCAUAGCUAUAUUCAAAGAAGAAAAAACAAAAUAAUUGUAAGAGUUUUGAUGAGAAAAGCAAAAUAAAAUUUACCAUUACUGUCUCUUGAUUAGUUCCACAAUUUGUAGGGUUGUAAAAGAGAAACCAACUCAAUUAUAUGUUCGAGUUGGUAUAAGAUUUGAUUGCUUACACAAUAAUUGUAUCGUGUAUUGUUUAAAAGUAAUUUGAGAAAGCAAACAAACAUCUACAAAUAAAUUGGCUUAUUACUUCCAUGUUUCCUAUUAUUCACUCGAACUUUUAAGUAAAUAAGAUGUACAAUUAUUGAAUAAAAGAAGUGUGAAUUGAUCUUUUCAAUAAAUAAUGAUUGGUUUGGCAUUUAAAUCUUUCCAUUGUUUCUUUUUACCUCCCAAUUAAUUAUUUUGUUAUGCUUAGCUGUUUCACUAAUUAUCAUAUUGAACUUCUUAAAAUAAAACAAUUAUCAUAUAGAAUGAUUAAUAAUUCAGAAAAUGAAGAGAGAACUACAAGAAAUUAAUCAUUUCCAGAGUAAUGAAGUCGUCUGAAGAUGCACCAAAAAAAUGCAUAAGAAAGUGAACUCUCGAUGUCAUUUUGUUUGUCGAAAAUAUUGUUGAGAAAACCACGUCAGAAAAUGUCAUUCCUACCGGCGUUUCCAAUGGCGUGUCGUUGCGCAUCAGGAGUACCUUCGAAUGUUCAACGGGCAUGGUAAACCAGUGGACAAUAUUAACUCUCGAGGACAUAUUGCCGCGACGUGAUCGCUACGUGGAGUGGCCGACCUCUCCGUUUAUUUAAUUUUAGUAAAUAAAUAGUUUUUGAAUCGCCACCAACCAUAUUAGGGUAUGAUUGAUCACCAAGAAAAGGAAAAAAAAUGGUUUGCGUAAAUUCAUAAGAUUUAAGUUCGGAAGUCAAUUGUGUGUAGGGAAGGUGUUAGCACCCUACGACACCGUUAAAAUGGUUACCCAAUUUUAUCUUUUAAACUAAAUUAUAAAGCUUACGUAACAAAAUUUUUAUUUAGGUUUUAUUUAAAUGUCUCAAGUUUAUCAAUUCCCAUCAAAGAAAAUAAAACCCAACCAUGAAUCGAUAAUUAUGGGUGGCAUAGGAGUCAUUAGAAAAAUGAAGUUUGUUUUUGUUUUAAAAGAUUUUUAUUCACCUUAAGAAUAUUAAGAUACCAAAACUUGAUAUUUUAAUCUCCAUCAUAUGUGUUUAAUGAGAAAUUUCAUGUAUCUAGAAUUAAUAAAUUCAUAAAAAAUACUACUCAGUCUCAUUUAAAAUAUGAAAUGUGUUUAUUUAAAAACAAUCUAUUAAUUAAAUUUCAAACGGAAAAAUUUGAUGUAUUCAUAGAAUUUAAAUUAUAAAAUCCAUAAAAAACAAUACAUUAUUUCUUCAAAUUACAUUUUUAUAUUUCAAUUGGAAAUUGAAUAAUAACAAUGACAAAACAUUAUGAAAUUUGAAAAAUACUUGAAGUGUAAUAUGCUGAGAUAAAAUAAAUACAUAAAACAAAUACAUGAUAAUGUAAGCAAUAUGCAAAAUGUAUAAGAUGAUUAAUUAACGUAGAUGCAAGAUAAUUAAUUAAUGCACCACAUGCAAGAUAAUGAAUUAAUGCAGAAUGAUGCAAAAUAAUUAAUUAAUUCAAAAGAUGUAAAAUAAUUAAUUAAUGCAUAAGGGUGCAAAAUAAUUAAUUAAUGCAGAAACAUAAAUAAGCAAAAUAAUUAAUUAAUUCAGAAAUAGGCAGAAUAAUUAAUUAAUUCAGAAGUAUGUAAAAUAAUUAAUUAAUUCAAAAAUAUGCAAAAUAAUUAAUCAGCCAGACCAGAGUAAUGAAUAAUUAAACGAGGAUGUCAAAUGGGUAAAAUAAUAAUUAACUGCAAGUGUCAAAGUAGGUUUAAUGGUGCAAAUAAUUACCCUCCAAAAAUUAAAACUGUCAAAUACAUUGUGCUAAUUAAUUAACAAUGUAUAAUUAAGAGAGUAUGUCAAAUGAAUAAUUAUUAACGCAAGAUACCAAAUGGAUAAACACAAUUAAAACAGAAUGUAAAAUAGGUGCCUAGAUAAUUAAAAAGAUAGCAAAUAAUUAAAUCAAUUAACACAUAAUGUAAAAUGGGUGCCUAGAUAAUUAAAAAGAUAACAAAUAAUUAAAUGAGUAUGCCAAAUAGGUGUCAAAUGAGUGCUAAAUAAUUAAGACAACAAUCAAAUAAUUAACACAUCAUUUAAUUAAUUAACCAAAUGAAAUAAUUAAAAUAGCACUCAAAUAGAUGCCAAAUAAUUAAUCCAGAACACACUAUUAAUCAAGUGUGUAGCCAAAUGGAUGCCAAAUAAUUAAACACAUGCAAAACAACUGAUUAAUCAGUCCACCAAUCAAAUAGUCCAAUGGGUGUCAAAUUAAUUUAAAAAAUUAAAAACGUCAAAUAUGACAGGUGCUAAUUAAUUAUAGGCCAAAUGGAAAAUGGAUAUUGCCAAAUACAGGAUGCUAAUUAAUUAAUCAUGAAGUAAUUUAUACAAAAGAAUGAAUGUGAGAUGAGUGUCAAAUAAUUAAAAGAGAUCAAAUGGGUGCCAAAAGAUUAAAAUUAUGCAAAUAAUUAAAAGAUGUCAUAUGCGUGCCAAAUGAUUAACACAGCAGCUAAUUAAUGACUAAAUUAAAUGAAUAAUUAAGACAGUAUCAUCAAGCAUGAAUAAAAAAGAACUUACAGGUAUGCCUUAAAUGAAAAAUGUUCUGUGUUAUCCUCUUCAAUCCUUCCCAACAAAAUUUCUUUUACUUUUCCCUUUUCUCUAUCAAAUAAUCUUCCUAGCAAAAAAUCCUCCCCUAAAUUGAAUCUUCUUUUUCUCUUUUUAUAGGGCAAGAUCUGAAGUAGAGUAGUUUUUAGUAGUGAAGUGGAGUGGAUGAGAGAAGGGGAAGAAGGUGGAAGAGUGGGAGAAUGUGAGAGGUUGGGAGAAAGUGAAACCUCGUGACCAAGAAUGUGAGAGAAUAGGAAGAAGGGGAUGGUUGAGAAAAAUAAGGAGAAGGGAAAAAAUCUUUACUUCUAAUUUUAAUUUUAAAUAUGUUUUUAUUUUUAUUUUGUUUUAAAACAUAAAUUUAAAAAUUAAGAUUUGAAAUUUAAAAUUUAAAUUCAAAUUCAAAUUCUUUUAAAAAAAUAAAAAUAAAAAAGCAGGACAAAAUAUGGUAUCUACACAUAUAAACCCCAUCAGGAUGUCUGAGUUUCCAAUGAUUUUGUCACGAGUAGUUUCUUUAGCUCAUUUUGUAAAUAUUAUUUUUUUUAUUAUUUUUUUAUAGUUGCAUAAGUAGUUUUUUUCAAAAUUUUAUCUGAAAUUUAAAAGAAUAAUAUCAAACCAAACAAUAUAUAUUAAAUAACGAAAUUUGGAACAUAGUAGUCAAUGUCUACAAAAUUAGAAUGUAUUUUGGAACCGAAAUUAUAACAAGGUUUACGUAAUGAUCUAUAAAAUGCUUUUGAAUUAAUAAAUACAUAGAAAAAAGAUGUCAUCUUCAAAACCCAUCUCCAUAUGUCAUCUUCGAACAACUCCUUACCGACAAUCACAUCAAGUAAAAUACAUUGUUUCACAAUUCAAAAAAUCCAAAAUUCUAAUAAAAAAGUUCCAUAGAAUUAACCAUAUUCUAACUUUUCAAAAUAAGUUAAAGUUAAGCAAUAAGUAGUUAAGCAAAACAAUUCACUCCUAAAAAAACAAGUUAAGCAAACACAUUUCACCCUUUAACAAAUAAAAUCAAGCAUAAAAUAAACAACUCACCUCAUCAACGCAACUUGUAAAACAAAAUCAUUCAUCUAUAAACAAUCCACGUCUCAUCACAAUAAGUUAAGCAAAGAGUUCACCCACUCUUCAACAGAAUAAAGUAAGGAAAAAAGUUCACUCACCCCCUCAACAUAACAAUGUUAAGAAAAGUUCAAUCAUCCCUCAACACAACAAUGUUAAAAAAAAUUCACCCACCUAUAAACAAAAACAUAUUAAUCAUACAACUCACCCUCAACACAACAAUUAAGAAAGGUUCACUCACCCCUAAACAACAACACAUUAAGCAAUUAAACAAUUCACCUCUCAGCACACCCCUCAACAAAACAUAUUAAUCAUACAACCCAUCCUUCAACACAACAUAUUAAGCAAAAUCAUUCAUCCAACUAAAAGCUACCAUACGACAAGAAUGGUAGUUGGAGUUAAUGUGACUUGACAAAGCUGCAAACGACGCUAACAUGUUCAGAAAAAUAGAAGUUUUCCACCAAAAGCUGCCUAUCAAAGGACUCCGUCCCUACAAAGUAAAGAGGCCAGCUUUGGGAGAAGUUAGAUGUCUGAAUGGAUCGACCAAGGGCCUGAAUGGGCCAAACCCUAAAGAAUGGUAGAAAGGAGUAACAUUUAUGUUGUCUGUAAAAGUUAUUAUUCUUUUUCUUCUAUCAGUCUGUAAAUGAGAGCUUGGGUUUAGGGUCGGAAUAAAGAAUAAUUCAUCUCCCAUUUUCUCAUAACUUGUAAUGUUCAUUUGUUUACUCUCCAUUUUUAAUAUUCUUUGUAAUGUAUAUGUUCAUAUUGUAUAGCGACCUAAGGCCGACAUUCUUUAAUAUAUUACAUGUUUAUACUUUUGUAAUCAAUCAUUCCUUUAUUGUUCACCUAUCAAUGUGUUAUUUAUCGUUUAGGUCUAUGAUAAGUUUCUGAUAAAAAGAUAAGCUUAUAAAGCUUAUGGUGUUAGUUGAGUUAUAGUAUCACUUGGUCAGUGUAUAUCGAUAACUACUCGAGAGAGCAAGUAGCAACGAUAUGACUAACGGACGCAAGGAAGAGUUUGGAAACAAACUCCACCUUAGCUAUAGUUUGUGGCAAGCAUCAUACCAGUGUUUAUUUUUCAUUGUUUUGCAUGAGACUGUGUCCUUUUAUUAUGUUGCAUGUAACCAUGUCCUCAAAUUAUAAAUUUACCAUUAGUGGCAUGUAAAGGUUAAGUGAGUACAUAUAUACACAUUCAUAUAUUUGUAUACGUGAGACAUAUAUAUAUGUAUAUACACGAGACAUACAUAUAAUGUCUUUUUUAAGUUUUAAACCUAUACUAUUCAUAUUCAUUUUUUCUUCUUUCGAGUUCAAUUACUACACAGAAGAUCAAAGGUGAAGAGGGUUUUUGGUUCUUAUUUAUUGAGCUAUAAAAAAAUUAACAUAAUUAUUUUAUACUUAGAAAGUAUCAAAUUAAAUAAGUAAUGGUAAAGAAAAUUAUAUAGUUUUUCACUAUUUAAAACAACUUUUAAAAUUACAUAAUAGUUGGUGUUGUUAUUAUUGUUUAUAUAAAGUUGACGUUUUACCC